UAGCGAAGGGGGCUAGCGUUGUUCGGAAUCACUGGGCGUAAAGCGCACGUAGGCGGUAUUGUUGAAGUCAGGGGUGAAAUGCCAAGGCUCAACCUUGGAACUGCCUUUGAUACUGGCAAUCGUCGAGUCCGGGAGAGGUGAGUGGAACUGCGAGUGUAGAGGUGAAAUUCGUAGAUAUUCGCAAGAACACCGGUGGCGAAGGCGGCUCUCUGGACCGUAACUGACGCUGAGGCGCGGAAAGCGUGGGGAGCAAACAGG
rnacentral:rRNA from 1 species